rnacentral:lncRNA from 1 species
UCCUUUCCUUUCAUUCGUCCCCCCCCCCCUUUCCUCCCUUCCAUUCCUUCCCUUUCUGUUCGGUUUCCAUUUCCUUUCAGUGGAGUUUCACUUCAUUUCCCCCCUUCUGUUCACCCCCCCCUUUUCCUUCCUUCAUUCCCAUUCAUUUCAGUCAUUCCUUUCUCUUCCAUUCAUUCCUCCCUUCGUUUCUCCCCUUCCAUUCAUUCCUUUCUUCUGUUUCCUUCAUUUUCCCUCAUUUCAUUCAUCCAUUCCUUCCAUUCAUUUUCUCCUUCAUUCAUUCAUUCAUUCAUUCAUUCAUUCAUUCCUUCCCUCCUUCCAUUCAUUCCCCCCUUUUGUUCCCCCAUUUCGUUCCUUUGAGUUUCUUUUGCUUUUAAUUAUUUUUUUUCUCAGCGUUUUCGUUUUAAUUUCCUCCCAUUAAUUCCAAUCAUUUCAAUUUCUCUCAUUAAUUCCCAUCAUUUCAUUUUUAUUUCCUUCGAUUUCAUUCCUAUUUUAAUCCAAUUAUUUCUCCUGCCGCGUUUCUUUCAUUCAUUCAUUCAUUCAUUCAUUCAUUCAUUCAUUCAUUCAUUCCUUUCCCCCCAUUAUUUCCCCCAUUAUUUCCCCGCAGUAUUUUAUUUUAUUUCCUCCCUUUUCAGCUGUAUUUUAUUUCCGGGGGGGUUUGGGGGAGAUUCCCCUCCACCCCCCCUCCCCUUUUCCAAUUCCACUCCACACAAAUGGGGCUCCCAGCGAUGGGGGGGGGGCAAUGAACCCCAAUAAAAGGCCAUUCUGC